rnacentral:rRNA from 1 species
GGGUUGUGAGGUUAAGCGACUAAGCGUACACGGUGGAUGCCCUGGCAGUCAGAGGCGAUGAAGGACGUGCUAAUCUGCGAUAAGCGUCGGUAAGGUGAUAUGAACCGUUAUAACCGGCGAUUUCCGAAUGGGGAAACCCAGUGUGAUUCGUCACACUAUCAUUAACUGAAUCCAUAGGUUAAUGAGGCGAACCGGGGGAACUGAAACAUCUAAGUACCCCGAGGAAAAGAAAUCAACCGAGAUUCCCCCAGUAGCGGCGAGCGAACGGGGAGGAGCCCAGAGCCUGAAUCAGUGUGUGUGUUAGUGGAAGCGUCUGGAAAGGCGCGCGAUACAGGGUGACAGCCCCGUACACAAAAAUGCACAUAUUGUGAGCUCGAUGAGUAGGGCGGGACACGUGGUAUCCUGUCUGAAUAUGGGGGGACCAUCCUCCAAGGCUAAAUACUCCUGACUGACCGAUAGUGAACCAGUACCGUGAGGGAAAGGCGAAAAGAACCCCGGCGAGGGGAGUGAAAAAGAACCUGAAACCGUGUACGUACAAGCAGUGGGAGCCUCUUUAUGGGGUGACUGCGUACCUUUUGUAUAAUGGGUCAGCGACUUAUAUUCUGUAGCAAGGUUAACCGAAUAGGGGAGCCGAAGGGAAACCGAGUCUUAACUGGGCGUUAAGUUGCAGGGUAUAGACCCGAAACCCGGUGAUCUAGCCAUGGGCAGGUUGAAGGUUGGGUAACACUAACUGGAGGACCGAACCGACUAAUGUUGAAAAAUUAGCGGAUGACUUGUGGCUGGGGGUGAAAGGCCAAUCAAACCGGGAGAUAGCUGGUUCUCCCCGAAAGCUAUUUAGGUAGCGCCUCGUGAAUUCAUCUCCGGGGGUAGAGCACUGUUUCGGCAAGGGGGUCAUCCCGACUUACCAACCCGAUGCAAACUGCGAAUACCGGAGAAUGUUAUCACGGGAGACACACGGCGGGUGCUAACGUCCGUCGUGAAGAGGGAAACAACCCAGACCGCCAGCUAAGGUCCCAAAGUCAUGGUUAAGUGGGAAACGAUGUGGGAAGGCCCAGACAGCCAGGAUGUUGGCUUAGAAGCAGCCAUCAUUUAAAGAAAGCGUAAUAGCUCACUGGUCGAGUCGGCCUGCGCGGAAGAUGUAACGGGGCUAAACCAUGCACCGAAGCUGCGGCAGCGACGCUUAUGCGUUGUUGGGUAGGGGAGCGUUCUGUAAGCCUGUGAAGGUGUGCUGUGAGGCAUGCUGGAGGUAUCAGAAGUGCGAAUGCUGACAUAAGUAACGAUAAAGCGGGUGAAAAGCCCGCUCGCCGGAAGACCAAGGGUUCCUGUCCAACGUUAAUCGGGGCAGGGUGAGUCGACCCCUAAGGCGAGGCCGAAAGGCGUAGUCGAUGGGAAACAGGUUAAUAUUCCUGUACUUGGUGUUACUGCGAAGGGGGGACGGAGAAGGCUAUGUUGGCCGGGCGACGGUUGUCCCGGUUUAAGCGUGUAGGCUGGUUUUCCAGGCAAAUCCGGAAAAUCAAGGCUGAGGCGUGAUGACGAGGCACUACGGUGCUGAAGCAACAAAUGCCCUGCUUCCAGGAAAAGCCUCUAAGCAUCAGGUAACAUCAAAUCGUACCCCAAACCGACACAGGUGGUCAGGUAGAGAAUACCAAGGCGCUUGAGAGAACUCGGGUGAAGGAACUAGGCAAAAUGGUGCCGUAACUUCGGGAGAAGGCACGCUGAUAUGUAGGUGAAGUCCCUCGCGGAUGGAGCUGAAAUCAGUCGAAGAUACCAGCUGGCUGCAACUGUUUAUUAAAAACACAGCACUGUGCAAACACGAAAGUGGACGUAUACGGUGUGACGCCUGCCCGGUGCCGGAAGGUUAAUUGAUGGGGUUAGCGGUAACGCGAAGCUCUUGAUCGAAGCCCCGGUAAACGGCGGCCGUAACUAUAACGGUCCUAAGGUAGCGAAAUUCCUUGUCGGGUAAGUUCCGACCUGCACGAAUGGCGUAAUGAUGGCCAGGCUGUCUCCACCCGAGACUCAGUGAAAUUGAACUCGCUGUGAAGAUGCAGUGUACCCGCGGCAAGACGGAAAGACCCCGUGAACCUUUACUAUAGCUUGACACUGAACAUUGAGCCUUGAUGUGUAGGAUAGGUGGGAGGCUUUGAAGUGUGGACGCCAGUCUGCAUGGAGCCGACCUUGAAAUACCACCCUUUAAUGUUUGAUGUUCUAACGUUGACCCGUGAUCCGGGUUGCGGACAGUGUCUGGUGGGUAGUUUGACUGGGGCGGUCUCCUCCUAAAGAGUAACGGAGGAGCACGAAGGUUGGCUAAUCCUGGUCGGACAUCAGGAGGUUAGUGCAAUGGCAUAAGCCAGCUUGACUGCGAGCGUGACGGCGCGAGCAGGUGCGAAAGCAGGUCAUAGUGAUCCGGUGGUUCUGAAUGGAAGGGCCAUCGCUCAACGGAUAAAAGGUACUCCGGGGAUAACAGGCUGAUACCGCCCAAGAGUUCAUAUCGACGGCGGUGUUUGGCACCUCGAUGUCGGCUCAUCACAUCCUGGGGCUGAAGUAGGUCCCAAGGGUAUGGCUGUUCGCCAUUUAAAGUGGUACGCGAGCUGGGUUUAGAACGUCGUGAGACAGUUCGGUCCCUAUCUGCCGUGGGCGCUGGAGAACUGAGGGGGGCUGCUCCUAGUACGAGAGGACCGGAGUGGACGCAUCACUGGUGUUCGGGUUGUCAUGCCAAUGGCACUGCCCGGUAGCUAAAUGCGGAAGAGAUAAGUGCUGAAAGCAUCUAAGCACGAAACUUGCCCCGAGAUGAGUUCUCCCUGACCCUUUAAGGGUCCUGAAGGAACGUUGAAGACGACGACGUUGAUAGGCCGGGUGUGUAAGCGCAGCGAUGCGUUGAGCUAACCGGUACUAAUGAACCGUGAGGCUUAACCUUACAACGCCGAAG